CUCUGAGCCGGCUGCUGAGGCCAGAACCUUGCCCCAGUACCAACCAGCUUUACAGCAGGCAGGCCACAGGCCUGGGCAACAAGAGCAGCUGUUUGAGACUAUAACCCACAAAGGUCAAGACUCAAGAGAGGAGUGCACACAAAAAUAGAAAUCACACACAAGUGAGAAAUUUAGUAUUUUGCCACCGUGACAACCAGUUUCAACCAAGACAAGACUAUCACUGCAGGCAGGUAGAGCAACUAGAGUUGAAAGACCCUGAAUUCUACAGUGUCCUCAACCACCUAUGCUGUAUCCUACUUUUGAGUACUGGGGAAGAAACUAGCACACAAUGAAUGAUGAAUGAGUGAAUGAAUGACAAAUCAAGAGACCAAGUUGACUUAUUAAGUCAUUAUGAGGCAAAGUAGACAUUUAAAAUGGAACAAUACUUGUUACUACAUGUAAAAACAUCACAUACACUAUCACAUUA